UGUUCGCCUGGGAACUACGAGCCCCAGCUUAAAACCCUAAGGAUUUGGCGGUGCUUAAGAUCCACCUAGAGGAGCCUGUUCUUGAACCGACAACCCCCGUUCUACCUCACCUUUUCUUGUAAAUUCCGUCUAUAUACCGCCGCCGUCAGCCCACCCUGUGAGGGUCCAAUAGCAAGCGAAACUGGUACAACCCCAAACGCCAGGUCGAGGUGUAGCAUAUGAGAAGGGAAGAAAUGGGCUACAUUCUCUACUUAAGAGCAUACGAAUAAGAGGUUGAAAAACCCCUUAGAAGGAGGAUUUAGCAGUAAGAGAUGAAUAGAGCGCACCUCUGAAAUUGGCCCUAAAGCGCGUACACACCGCCCG
rnacentral:rRNA from 1 species